rnacentral:rRNA from 1 species
GCAGCCGCCGCGGUAAUACGGAGGAUCCAAGCGUUAUCCGGAAUCAUUGGGUUUAAAGGGUCCGUAGGCGGUCUUGUAAGUCAGUGGUGAAAGCCCAUCGCUCAACGGUGGAACGGCCAUUGAUACUGCAGGACUUGAAUUAUUGGGAAGUAACUAGAAUAUGUAGUGUAGCGGUGAAAUGCUUAGAGAUUACAUGGAAUACCAAUUGCGAAGGCAGGUUACUACCAAUUGAUUGACGCUGAUGGACGAAAGCGUGGGUAGCGAACAGGAUUAGAUACCCGCGUAGUCCCUGUCUCUUAUAA